UCUCCAUCACCAAUCUCUCACUUCUUGGAUUCUACCAAAGGGUCUCUCCAAGAAGUGGUUCUAUUGGUUUGGUCUAACCUACCAAGGGAGUAAAUUUGGUUUGUGUUGGGUUGUGUGUGUUUUGAUUUGAGUUUUGUGUGUGUUCUUUCUCUUUCCCAUCCUUACCAUCCACACACUUGGUCAAAUUCGUGAGAUAUGGGCACUCCCUAGCCCUUAGGCCUCAAGAACACUGAUUGAAGAGGAAGAGGAACUCAAUUUUGCUGGGCGAGGGGAAGAAGGCUCAUGCUGAAGAAGCAGUUGAACAGAGGAAGGGGAAGCCAAUCUUGCCGGCGUGUGCGAUAAUGUGGAUCAACCGGCAGUCUGGCAUCCUGGCAUAGCUGAUCUUAUCUAUUGGCCCGAGGAGACCUGGCCUCGCAUCUGCUGGGUAAUCGUGUCCUUGUGAACUUUAAUCUGUCCAAUACUCAAAACCGGAGGUCACCAAAAAGAAGGAUCAGCAUGUCUGGCUAGAACCGGCAGCUCCAUCUCCAGUAGGGUCGCAGAGGAGAGGAGGCUGAAGUUCUAGACCAGGAUACCAGCGCUCCAAGCCGAGACUGACGCCGCAUCCAAAAUCGCAGAGCCUGUAGUACUUCCAGUGGGCAAAGUUCUGGGUGA